UCGUAGGGCUUCUGCCCUGUCGAGAUAGCGUCCUUGCCUAUUUUUUGGAGUACCUUUUCGUUUCCUCAGCAGGCUUGCCUGCUACUGGGGACCCUUUAAACUCUUUGUAAAUACAGCAUCUGUCUGAAAAAACAAACAAAAAAUCA
rnacentral:misc_RNA from 1 species